AUCUUUCUAGUAUCAAAGUUAGUACAAGUGACUUCCAAUCACACAGUCUUGGUUUAAACCCAGGGAAAGAUA
rnacentral:tRNA from 1 species